UUUAUUGGAGAGUUUGAUCCUGGCUCAGGAUGAACGCUGGCGGCGUGCCUAAUACAUGCAAGUCGAGCGAAUGGAUUAAGAGCUUGCUCUUAUGAAGUUAGCGGCGGACGGGUGAGUAACACGUGGGUAACCUGCCCAUAAGACUGGGAUAACUCCGGGAAACCGGGGCUAAUACCGGAUAACAUUUUGAACUGCAUGGUUCGAAAUUGAAAGGCGGCUUCGGCUGUCACUUAUGGAUGGACCCGCGUCGCAUUAGCUAGUUGGUGAGGUAACGGCUCACCAAGGCAACGAUGCGUAGCCGACCUGAGAGGGUGAUCGGCCACACUGGGACUGAGACACGGCCC
rnacentral:rRNA from 3 species